UACGUAGGGGGCAAGCGUUAUCCGGAAUUACUGGGUGUAAAGGGUGAGUAGGCGGCAUGGUAAGCCAGAUGUGAAAGCCUUGGGCUUAACCCGAGGAUUGCAUUUGGAACUAUCAAGCUAGAGUACAGGAGAGGAAAGCGGAAUUCCUAGUGUAGCGGUGAAAUGCGUAGAUAUUAGGAAGAACACCAGUGGCGAAGGCGGCUUUCUGGACUGAAACUGACGCUGAGGCACGAAAGCGUGGGGAGCGAACA
rnacentral:rRNA from 1 species